GAAAGGUGAAAAGAACCGCGGGAGCGGAGUGAAAGAGAACCUGAAACCGUAUGCCUACAAGAAGUCAGAGCCCGUUAAGGGGUGAUGGCGUGCCUUUUGUAGAAUGAACCGGCGAGUUGCGACAGACUGCGAGGUUAAGGAGGAAAGACCGGAGCCGAAGCGAAAGCGAGUCUUAAGAGGGCGAAAGUAGGAUGUUGCAGACCCGAAACCGGGUGAUCUAGCCAUGAGCAGGUUGAAGUUGAGGUGAAACUCAAUGGAGGACCGAACCGACUACCUUUGAAAAGUUAGCGGAUGACUUGUGGCUAGGGGAGAAAUUCCAAUCGAACCCGGAGAUAGCUGGUUCUCCCCGAAAUAGCUUUAGGGCUAGCGUCGGAAAGAACCUUAGUGAAGGUAGAGCACUGAAUGUGUGAUGGCCCCAUCCCGGGGUACUGAAUACAAUCAAACUGCGAAUGUCAUUAAGGAUGUCCGGCAGUCAGACUGUGAGUGAUAAGGUCCAUGGUCAAGAGGGAAACAGCCCAGACCGCCAGUUAAGGUCCCAAAAUACAGGCUAAGUGGAAAAGGAUGUGGGGAUGCCCAGACAACUAGGAGGUUGGCUCAGAAGCAGCCAUCCUUUAAAGAGUGCGUAACAGCUCACUAGUCGAGUGACCCUGCGCCGAAAAUGUACCGGGGCUAAGCCUGAUACCGAAACUGCGGAUUGUAGGAAACUAUAGUGGUAGGGGAGCGUUGUAUACGAGCAGAAGCCGUACCGUGAGGAGCGGUGGAUUGUAUAGAAGUGAGAAUGCCGGUGUGAGUAGCGAGAUGUAGGUGAGAAUCCUACACACCGAAAGCCCAAGGAUUCCAGGGGAAGGUUCGUCCGCCCUGGGUAAGUCGGGACCUAACGCGAGGCCGAAAGGCGUAGUGGAUGGAAAGCAGGCGAAAGAUUCCUGCACCCGUAUAUGGAGCGAAGGAGUGACGGAGACGGAUAGUGUGACCCUCUUAAUGGAUUGAGGGCGAAGCGAAGCGGCUGGUUACCAGGCAAAUCCGGUAACCAUAAGGCUAGAGCGUGACAGGUAAGCGAAAUCUUAGGAAAGUAGCGAAGCACAUGAUGACGGCUUCCAGGAAAAGCUUCUGGCAAUGCAUAUGCGGCCCGUACCAAAACCGACACAGGUGGGCAGGGAGAGAAUCCCGAGGUGAGCGAGAGAACUGUUGCCAAGGAACUCGGCAAAAUGACUCCGUAAGUUAGCGAGAAGGAGUGCUUAAGCAAUUAAGCCGCAGUGAAGAGGCCCAAGCGACUGUUUAACUAAAACACAGCUCUCUGCGAAGUCGCAAGACGAAGUAUAGGGGGUGACACCUGCCCGGUGCUGGAAGGUUAAGAGGAUCUGUUAAGAGCGAUCUGAAGCAGUGAUCCGAAGCCCCAGUGAACGGCGGCCGUAACAAUAACGGUCCUAAGGUAGCGAAAUUCCUUGUCAGGUAAGUUCUGACCCGCACGAAAGGUGUAACGAUUUGGGCGCUGUCUCGGCAGCAGACUCGGUGAAAUCUUAGUACCUGUGAAAAUGCAGGUUACCCGCAACUAGACGGAAAGACCCCAUGGAGCUUUACUGCAGCCUGAUAUUGAAUUCUGGUCAUACAUGUACAGGAUAGGUGGGAGACAAAGAGACGUGCACGCCAGUGUACGAGGAGUCGACGUUGGGAUACCACUCUUGUGUGACCGGGGUUCUAACCUGGUAUCGAGAACAGGUACGGGGAGAGUGUCAGGUGGGCAGUUUGACUGGGGCGGUCGCCUCCCAAAGAGUAACGGAGGCGCCCAAAGGUACGCUCAGAUUGGAUGGAAACCAAUCGUCGAGUGCAAUUGCAGAAGCGUGCUUGACUGUGAGACAGACAAGUCGAACAGGGACGAAAGUCGGGAAUAGUGAUCCGGCGGUGCCGAAUGGAAGGGCCGUCGCUCAACGGAUAAAAGCUACCCUGGGGAUAACAGGCUGAUCUCCCCCAAGAGUCCACAUCGACGGGGAGGUUUGGCACCUCGAUGUCGGCUCAUCGCAUCCUGGGGCUGAAGUAGGUCCCAAGGGUUGGGCUGUUCGCCCAUUAAAGCGGUACGCGAGCUGGGUUCAGAACGUCGUGAGACAGUUCGGUCCCUAUCUGUUGUGGGCGAAGGAGAUCUGCGGAGAGCUGUCCUCAGUACGAGAGGACCGGGAUGGACCUACCGCUGGUGCACCGGUUGUUCCGCCAGGGGCAUAGCCGGGUAGCUAAGUAGGGAAAGGAUAAGCGCUGAAAGCAUCUAAGCACGAAGCCUACUCCAAGAUGAGAUCUCCCAUUCG
rnacentral:rRNA from 1 species